rnacentral:lncRNA from 1 species
CCUUCCAUUCCAUCUUGCACUGUACUUGGUUUAAUGAGACCAAGUGCAGGAUCUGUUGUGGUACCAAAUAUAAAGUUCCUAAACUCCAAUGUACCUCAGUAUAGCCAAAGAGCCUGAAAACCAGUGUGUUAUGAGUAACCUGCCAUUGAAGCUCAGUUCAUUGAAGGUAACUAUACAGGGCAAUCAUAACACCAUUGAAAUAACAACCAAACAAAGCAAUUUUAUUCAAAUGCAUAAUCUUGAUAUCAAGACUAGCAGUAAAACCAAUGGCCAUUGCAAAGCCAAUAAACCACAUAAAACAAAUUGAAAGGAUAAUAAAAGAUGCUAAUAGAGCUUAUUGAAGAAACAAAAAUAAACGCCAGAACGAUAUUAAAUGCCAAAACACAAGAGACCAGCCUCUCACAGCACAACGACUCGUGUGUGGUGUACUUCAUGUAUAAAUUAUGGCUUGGAAUCACUAGGUUUGGGGUGUGAGGGACCCCUCUCCUCUACCUGCUUAGAACCUCC